GACGAACGCUGGCGGCGCGCCUAACACAUGCAAGUCGAACGAGCGAGAGAGAGCUUGCUUUCUCGAGCGAGUGGCGAACGGGUGAGUAACGCGUGAGGAACCUGCCUCAAAGAGGGGGACAACAGUUGGAAACGACUGCUAAUACCGCAUAAGCCCACAGGUCGGCAUCGGGUUGAGGGAAAAGGAGCGAUCCGCUUUGAGAUGGCCUCGCGUCCGAUUAGCUAGUUGGUGAGGUAACGGCCCACCAAGGCAACGAUCGGUAGCCGGACUGAGAGGUUGAACGGCCACAUUGGGACUGAGACACGGCCCAG
rnacentral:rRNA from 1 species